GCAGUCGACGAUGAAGCCUUUCGGGGUGGAUUAGUGGCGAACGGGUGAGUAACACGUGGGCAAUCUGCCCUUCACUCUGGGACAAGCCCUGGAAACGGGGUCUAAUACCGGAUAAUACUUCUGCCUGCAUGGGUGGGGGUUGAAAGCUCCGGCGGUGAAGGAUGAGCCCGCGGCCUAUCAGCUUGUUGGUGGGGUAAUGGCCUACCAAGGCGACGACGGGUAGCCGGCCUGAGAGGGCGACCGGCCACACUGGGACUGAGACACGGCCCAGACUCCUACGGGAGGCAGCAGUGGGGAAUAUUGCACAAUGGGCGAAAGCCUGAUGCAGCGACGCCGCGUGAGGGAUGACGGCCUUCGGGUUGUAAACCUCUUUCAGCAGGGAAGAAGCGCAAGUGACGGUACCUGCAGAAGAAGCGCCGGCUAACUACGUGCCAGCAGCCGCGGUAAUACGUAGGGCGCAAGCGUUGUCCGGAAUUAUUGGGCGUAAAGAGCUCGUAGGCGGCUUGUCACGUCGGAUGUGAAAGCCCGGGGCUUAACCCCGGGUCUGCAUUCGAUACGGGCUAGCUAGAGUGUGGUAGGGGAGAUCGGAAUUCCUGGUGUAGCGGUGAAAUGCGCAGAUAUCAGAGGAACACCGGUGGCGAAAGCGGAUCUCUGGGCCAUUACUGACGCUGAGGAGCGAAAGCGUGGGGAGCGAACAGGAUUAGAUACCCUGGUAGUCCACGCCGUAAACGUUGGGAACUAGGUGUUGGCGACAUUCCACGUCGUCGGUGCCGCAGCUAACGCAUUAAGUUCCCCGCCUGGGGAGUACGGC
rnacentral:rRNA from 1 species